rnacentral:rRNA from 1 species
AUUGAACGCUGGCGGCAUGCUUUACAUAUGCAAGUCGAACGGUAACAGGCCUUCGGGUGCUGACGAGUGGCGAACGGGUGAGUAAUGCAUCGGAACGUACCCAGAGGUGGGGGAUAACGCAGCGAAAGCUGUGCUAAUACCGCAUGUGAUCUGAGGAUGAAAGCGGGGGACCGAGCAGCAAUGUUUGGCCUCGCGCCUUUGGAGCGGCCGAUGUCGGAUUAGCUAGUUGGUGGGGUAAAGGCCUACCAAGGCGACGAUCCGUGGCUGGUCUGAGAGGACGACCAGCCACACUGGGACUGAGACACGGCCCAGACUCCUACGGGAGGCAGCAGUGGGGAAUUUUGGACAAUGGGCGCAAGCCUGAUCCAGCAAUGCCGCGUGCGGGAAGAAGGCCUUCGGGUUGUAAACCGCUUUUGGCAGGAACGAAACGGUGUCCGCUAAUACCGGGCGCUAAUGACGGUACCUGCAGAAUAAGCACCGGCUAACUACGUG